CAAGGAUUUAUUAAUCCUCGAGCCUUUUCUGUUCACUAAGCAGUGGGUUUACCUUAUUGUUAUCAGCCUGCAUUAAAACACAACAGGUGCAUAUUGCUGUUCAUUUAAUUAUUGUUAUUAUUAUAUUGUUGU